rnacentral:rRNA from 1 species
CCUACGGGAGGCAGCAGUGGGGAAUAUUGGACAAUGGGCGAAAGCCUGAUCCAGCAAUGCCGCGUGAGUGAUGAAGGCCUUAGGGUCGUAAAGCUCUUUUACCCGGGAUGAUAAUGACAGUACCGGGAGAAUAAGCCCCGGCUAACUCCGUGCCAGCAGCCGCGGUAAUACGGAGGGGGCUAGCGUUGUUCGGAAUUACUGGGCGUAAAGCGUACGUAGGCGGUUAUUCAAGUCAGAGGUGAAAGCCCGGGGCUCAACCCCGGAACGGCCUUUGAAACUAGAUAGCUAGAGUCUUGGAGAGGUCAGUGGAAUUCCGAGUGUAGAGGUGAAAUUCGUAGAUAUUCGGAAGAACACCAGUGGCGAAGGCGACUGACUGGACAAGUACUGACGCUGAGGUACGAAAGCGUGGGGAGCAAACAGGAUUAGAUACCCUGGUAGUCCACGCCGUAAACGAUAGAUAACUAGCUGUCCGGGUACUUGGUAUCGUGGGUGGCGCAGCUACGACAUUAAGUUAUACCGUCCGUCGGGUAGGUACGGUCGCGAGAAUUAAACUACUAAUAGUAAGUUAGUACGGACGUGAGACGUCGCCGACGGACGACGACGAGGGAGUAGG